rnacentral:rRNA from 1 species
AUUGAACGCUGGCGGCAGGCCUAACACAUGCAAGUCGAACGAGUGGCGGACGGGUGAGUAAUGUCUGGGAAACUGCCCGAGGGAGGGGGAUAACUACUGGAAACGGUAACUAAUACCGCAUACCAUCGGAUGUGCCCGGAUGGGGUUAGCUAGUAGGGGGGGUAACGGCGCACCUAGGCGACGAUCCCUAGCUGGGCUGAGAGGAUGACCAGCCACACUGGAACUGAGACACGGUCCAGACUCCUAAGGGAGGCAGCAGUGGGGAAUAUUGCACAAUGGGCGCAAGCCUGAUGCAGCCAUGCCGCGUGUAUGAAGAAGGCCUUCGGGUUGUAAAGUACUUUCAGCGAGGAGGCGUUACUCGCAGAAGAAGCACCGGCUAACUCCGUGCCAGCAGCCGCGGUAAUUC